rnacentral:rRNA from 1 species
AUUGAACGCUGGCGGCAUGCCUUACACAUGCAAGUCGAACGGCAGCACGGGGCAACCUGGUGGCGAGUGGCGAACGGGUGAGUAAUGCAUCGGAACGUACCUUUCAGUGGGGGAUAACGUAGCGAAAGUUACGCUAAUACCGCAUAUUCCGUGAGCAGGAAAGCAGGGGAUCGCAAGACCUUGCGCGGAUUGAGCGGCCGAUGUCAGAUUAGCUAGUUGGUGAGGUAAAGGGUCACCAAGGCGACGAUCUGUAGCGGGUCUGAGAGGAUGAUCCGCCACACUGGAACUGAGACACGGUCCAGGCUCCUACGGGAGGCAGCAGUGGGGAAUUUUGGACAAUGGGGGCAACCCUGAUCCAGCCAUGCCGCGUGAGUGAAGAAGGCCUUCGGGUUGUAAAGCUCUUUCGGCCGGGAAGAAAUCGCACGGGCUAAUACCCUGUGUGGAUGACGGUACCGGAAUAAGAAGCACCGGCUAACUACGUGCCAGCAGCCGCUGUAACAC